ACAUUAUAUGGGACAAUCUUUACGUGUUCUUCUUUUGGGAAGGUGGAUUAGAGCUUACUGCUUAGGGUUGCCUUAGCCUGUGAUUAUGACUCUGAAAUCAGGACUUAGAACAUCCUGAUUCUCUUACCUGAU
ensembl:snoRNA Gm25369 predicted gene, 25369